UACGUAGGUGACAAGCGUUGUCCGGAUUUACUGGGCGUAAAGAGCGCGCAGGCGGUCGAUCAAGUCGAGUGUGAAAGCCCCCGGCUCAACUGGGGAGGGUCAUUCGAUACUGAUCGACUCGGAGGCAGGAGAGGGUAGUGGAAUUCCCGGUGUAGUGGUGAAAUGCGUAGAGAUCGGCAGGAACACCCAGGGGGAAACCAGUGGACUGGCACGGUGCUGACGCUCAGGUGCGAAAGCGUGGGGAGCGAACCGG
rnacentral:rRNA from 1 species